UUUAUCUAUUGUGUUCGAAAUUUCGAAUUCAAAAUAAGUUCAUACUCGACAGUCGACGGGAGACUAGUGCGCAUGAACGUGGACGUGGGCUAGGCGGGUGCAGGUGGGUUCACUAGGCGGCAGAUGUUUGUACUGGUGAUGGACUAGGCGAAGCGGGGAGAGCACUGGUGAUCGCCGCCGAAAAAAACCCGUCUGAAGUCUGAACACGACAAUUAAUACAAUGAAUACAUCGUUAUUCUGAAUGAAAUAAUAUAUUUAAAGGCGCCGUGAAAUCAUUUCAGACCAGUGGUUCUCAAUCUCUUUUUAAGGACCGCGACCCAAAUGUUCUUCCAAAAAAAUCUAUCGAGACCGCCUAUACUUCUAUAGAAGUCCUAUAGUCUAAGCAAUUUUUUUUUAAAAGACAUACAUUUCUUACAAUAUUUCAUAAUAUGUAUAAUUAAUAAACACUUCUAGCUACCCUCCAAAAAUUGACUCGCGACCCACGCAGCUUUAGAACCGCUGUUUCGGACAUUAACCGUACGCGUUUUUUAACGAUUUAUAGACGAGAAGGCUGGGUGAGCUAAAGCUAGCCCGAUCCCACGGUUUUCCGUGGGCCAUACUGCGUAUUUAUUUGUAAUUUUUUCCGAUCUAUAUACUGGCUAUAUGAUAGGUACUUAUAAUAUAAAUCAUUAUUAAUAUCGUUUUUAUUUUUUUAUUUGGUAAUUCUUUUUGUAUCAAAAUCACGCAUUUUCAGAAUUGAACAACUUUUUGUUGUUGUUCAGACCGGUGAAAAUGUCGUUUCUUUAGUUACGAGUUAUAGUAUGACCGUAGCCUUCUCGAUCGUUUCCCGCGCUAAUCAGUUUUUUUGUUAUGUUUUACAUUUUGUGAGACAAAGAAACACGUGCUAGACUGUAGCGUGCUCUUAAACAAUGAGAGACGCGAGUAUCUCACACACGGUGAAGAAUUUAACGACGGUCGAAAAUUAAUAUUAAAAUACGAGUAAUAUAAUAUUUAUGUAAUGAAUAAUACCUAAACCAGGAAUGGUUCGCGUUUGGCGAUUACAAUUAUUUCUGAAAAAAAUUGGUACAUAAAUAACAUUAAUUACGUCGUACCAUAGAUUAAAAUAUAUACUAGUAUAUUAUUAUUUAUUUUAAUCUAGGGUCGUACGUCGAUACAAAUAUUAAAUAUUCGAAUAAAAAGGUAGUGAUGAUCAAAAUGACAAAAAAGAUACGGGCACGUAUAAUAUUCCAUAGACACAUUUGGUCAAAGUCCAGUUCAUUACUCUCAAAGAACUGCUAGUAUGGACGUAUGGUAUUGGAGUAACAGAUAAUGAUAAAUUUAUUUUAUUAUUACUUCUUGUUAUAAUCAUAUAAGAAUUUCAAUGUAAUUAUAGUUGUCGUUACCAAAUA